GCGGCGUGCCUAAUCAUGCAAGUAGAACGCUGAAGAGAGGAGCUUGCUCUUCUUGGAUGAGUUGCGAACGGGUGAGUAACGCGUAGGUAACCUGCCUGGUAGCGGGGGAUAACUAUUGGAAACGAUAGCUAAUACCGCAUGAUAUUAAUUGUCGCAUGAUAAUUAAUUGAAAGAUGCAAUUGCAUCACUACCAGAUGGACCUGCGUUGUAUUAGCUAGUUGGUGAGGUAACGGCUCACCAAGGCGACGAUACAUAGCCGACCUGAGAGGGUGAUCGGCCACACUGGGACUGAGACACGGCCCAGACUCCUACGGGAGGCAGCAGUAGGGAAUCUUCGGCAAUGGGGGGAACCCUGACCGAGCAACGCCGCGUGAGUGAAGAAGGUUUUCGGAUCGUAAAGCUCUGUUGUAAGAGAAGAACGGGUGUGAGAGUGGAAAGUUCACACUGUGACGGUAUCUUACCAGAAAGGGACGGCUAACUACGUGCCAGCAGCCGCGGUAAU
rnacentral:rRNA from 1 species